AGAGUUUGAUCCUGGCUCAGGAUGAACGCCGGCGGUGUGCCUAAUACAUGCAAGUCGUACGCACUGGCCCAACUGAUUGAUGGUGCUUGCACCUGAUUGACGAUGGAUCACCAGUGAGUGGCGGACGGGUGAGUAACACGUAGGUAACCUGCCUCGGAGCGGGGGAUAACAUUUGGAAACAGAUGCUAAUACCGCAUAACAACAAAAGCCACAUGGCUUUUGUUUGAAAGAUGGCUUUGGCUAUCACUCUGGGAUGGACCUGCGGUGCAUUAGCUAGUUGGUAAGGUAACGGCUUACCAAGGCAAUGAUGCAUAGCCGAGUUGAGAGACUGAUCGGCCACAAUGGAACUGAGACACGGUCCAUACUCCUACGGGAGGCAGCAGUAGGGAAUCUUCCACAAUGGGCGCAAGCCUGAUGGAGCAACACCGCGUGAGUGAAGAAGGGUUUCGGCUCGUAAAGCUCUGUUGUUGGAGAAGAACGUGCGUGAGAGUAACUGUUCACGCAGUGACGGUAUCCAACCAGAAAGUCACGGCUAACUACGUGCCAGCAGCCGCGGUAAUACGUAGGUGGCAAGCGUUAUCCGGAUUUUUUGGGCGUAAAGCGAGCGCAGGCGGUUGCUUAGGUCUGAAUGUGAAAACACUUCGGCUGAACCGAAGAAGUGCAUCGGAAGCCGGGCGACUUGAGGGCAGAAGAGGACAGUGGAACUCCAUGUGUAGCGGUGGAAUGCGUAGAUAUAUGGAAGAACACCAGUGGCGAAGGCGGCUGUCUGGUCUGCAACUGACGCUGAGGCUCGAAAGCAUGGGUAGCGAACAGGAUUAGAUACCCUGGUAGUCCAUGCCGUAAACGAUGAGUGCUAGGUGUUGGAGGGUUUCCGCCCUUCAGUGCCGGAGCUAACGCAUUAAGCACUCCGCCUGGGGAGUACGACCGCAAGGUUGAAACUCAAAGGAAUUGACGGGGGCCCGCACAAGCGGUGGAGCAUGUGGUUUAAUUCGAAGCUACGCGAAGAACCUUACCAGGUCUUGACAUCUUGCGCUAACCUUAGAGAUAAGGCGUUCCCUUCGGGGACGCAAUGACAGGUGGUGCAUGGUCGUCGUCAGCUCGUGUCGUGAGAUGUUGGGUUAAGUCCCGCAACGAGCGCAACCCUUGUUACUAGUUGCCAGCAUUAAGUUGGGCACUCUAGUGAGACUGCCGGUGACAAACCGGAGGAAGGUGGGGACGACGUCAGAUCAUCAUGCCCCUUAUGACCUGGGCUACACACGUGCUACAAUGGACGGUACAACGAGUCGCAAGCUCGCGAGAGUAAGCUAAUCUCUUAAAGCCGUUCUCAGUUCGGACUGUAGGCUGCAACUCGAAUACACGAAGUCGGAAUCGCUAGUAAUCGCGGAUCAGCAUGCCGCGGUGAAUACGUUCCCGGGCCUUGCACA
rnacentral:rRNA from 1 species